AACGAACGCUGGCGGCAUGCCUAACACAUGCAAGUCGAACGAACCCUUCGGGGUUAGUGGCGCACGGGUGCGUAACGCGUGGGAAUCUGCCCUUAGGUUCGGAAUAACUCAGAGAAAUUUGAGCUAAUACCGGAUGAUGACGUAAGUCCAAAGAUUUAUCGCCUGAGGAUGAGCCCGCGUAGGAUUAGCUAGUUGGUGUGGUAAAGGCGCACCAAGGCGACGAUCCUUAGCCGGUCUGAGAGGAUGAUCAGCCACACUGGGACUGAGACACGGCCCAGACUCCUACGGGAGGCAGCAGUGGGGAAUAUUGGACAAUGGGCGAAAGCCUGAUCCAGCAAUGCCGCGUGAGUGAUGAAGGCCUUAGGGUUGUAAAGCUCUUUUACCCGGGAUGAUAAUGACAGUACCGGGAGAAUAAGCUCCGGCUAACUCCGUGCCAGCCGCCGCCGUAA
rnacentral:rRNA from 1 species